rnacentral:tRNA from 1 species
CCGUCGAUAGCUCAGUUGGCAGAGCGGUGGACUGUAGAUCCAUAGGUCGCUGGUUCGACGCCGGCUCGACGGA